GAUGAACGCUGGCGGCGUGCCUAAUACAUGCAAGUCGAGCGAAUCGGGGGCGGGUGAGUAACACGUGGAAAACCUCCUCUUACAGUGGGAUAACACCGGGAAACCGGAGCUCUACCCGAUACUUAACGUAUGAUCCACGCUGCAUUAGCUAGUUGGUAAGGUAACUGCUUACCAAGGCAACGAUGCUUAGCCGACCUGAGAGGGUGAUCGGCCACACUGGAACGGAGACACGGUCCAGACUCCUACGGGAGGCAGCAGUAGGGAAUCUUCCGCAAUGGGCGAAAGCCUGACGGAGCAACGCCGCGUGAGUGAUGAAGGUCUUCGGAUCGUAAAACUCUGUUAUUAGGGAAGCGGUACCUAAUCAGAAAGCCACGGCUAACUACGUGCCAGCAGCCGCGGUAAUUC
rnacentral:rRNA from 1 species